rnacentral:rRNA from 1 species
AUGCACGCUGGCGGCGUGCCUCAUCCAUGCAAGUCGAGCGCACGGACGAGAAGCUUGCUUCUCUGAUGUUAGCGGCGGACGGGUGAGUAACACGUGGAUAACCUACCUAUAAGACUGGGAUAACUUCGGGAAACCGUAGCUAAUACCGGAUAAUAUUUUGAACCGCAUGGUUCAAAAGUGAAAGACGGUCUUGCUGUCACUUAUAGAUGGAUCCGCGCUGCAUUAGCUAGUUGGUAAGGUAACGGCUUACCAAGGCAACGAUGCAUAGCCGACCUGAGAGGGUGAUCGGCCACACUGGAACUGAGACACGGUCCAGACUCCUACGGGAGGCAGCAGUAGGGAAUCUUCCGCAAUGGGCGAAAGCCUGACGGAGCAACGCCGCGUGAGUGAUGAAGGUCUUCGGAUCGUAAAACUCUGUUAUUAGGGAAGAACAUAUGUGUAAGUAACUGUGCACAUCUUGACGGUACCUAAUCAGAAAGCCACGGCUAACUACGUG